rnacentral:rRNA from 1 species
CACGUAGGGUGCGAGCGUUGUCUGGAAUUAUUGGGCGUAAAGAGCUCGUAGGCGGUGUGUCGCGUCGGCCGUGAAAACCUGCAGCUUAACUGUGGCUUGCGGUCGAUACGGGCAUCACUGGAGUUCGGCAGGGAGACUGGAAUUCCUGGUGUAGCGGUGAAAUGCGCAGAUAGUCAGGAGGAACACCGGUGGCGAAGGCGGGUCUCUGGGCCGAUACUGACGCUGGAGGAGCGAAAGCGUGGGAGCGAACAGG